rnacentral:rRNA from 1 species
AGAGUUUGAUCAUGGCUCAGGAUGAACGCUGGCGGCGUGCUUAACACAUGCAAGUCGAACGGAGUGCUCAUGACGGAGGAUUCGUCCAACGGAUUGAGUUACUUAGUGGCGGACGGGUGAGUAACGCGUGAGGAACCUGCCUCGGAGUGGGGAAUAACAGACCGAAAGGCCUGCUAAUACCGCAUGAUGCAGUUGGGUCGCAUGACUCUGACUGCCAAAGAUUUAUCGCUCUGAGAUGGCCUCGCGUCUGAUUAGCUAGUUGGCGGGGUAACGGCCCACCAAGGCGACGAUCAGUAGCCGGACUGAGAGGUUGACCGGCCACAUUGGGACUGAGACACGGCCCAGACUCCUACGGGAGGCAGCAGUGGGGAAUAUUGGGCGAUGGGCGCAAGCCCGACCCAGCAACGCCGCGUGAAGGAAGAAGGCUUUCGGGUUGUAAACUUCUUUUCUCAGGGACGAAAUAAAUGACGGUACCUGAGGAAUAAGCCACGGCUAACUACGUGCCAGCAGCCGCGGUAAUACGUAGGUGG